rnacentral:rRNA from 1 species
UACGUAGGUGGCAAGCGUUGUCCGGAUUCACUGGGCGUAAAGCGCGCGCAGGCGGUCUUCUACGUCUGGGGUGAAAACCCGGGGCUCAACCCCGGGACUGCCUUGGAUACGGGGGGACUUGAGGAUCGGAGAGGCAAGGGGAAUUCCACGUGUAGCGGUGAAAUGCGUAGAGAUCAGGAGGAACACCCAUGGCGAAGGCAGCUCUCUGGCUUCACCCUGACGCUGAGGCGCGAAAGCGUGGGGAGCGAACGGG